rnacentral:tRNA from 1 species
CGCCAGAGCUGAUCUGCUCAGAGCCACCAUUUGUCGACUGCCACAGAGGCUCCAUGGAAAUCGCCCUCA